GCGUGAGUGAUGAAGGCCUUAGGGUUGUAAAGCUCUUUCGCACGCGACGAUGAUGACGGUAGCGUGAGAAGAAGCCCCGGCUAACUUCGUGCCAGCAGCCGCGGUAAUACGAAGGGGGCGAGCGUUGUUCGGAAUUACUGGGCGUAAAGGGCGCGUAGGCGGCCCGAUCAGUCAGAUGUGAAAGCCCCGGGCUCAACCUGGGAACUGCAUUUGAUACUGUCGGGCUUGAGUUCCGGAGAGGAUGGUGGAAUUCCCAGUGUAGAGGUGAAAUUCGU
rnacentral:rRNA from 1 species